CGGACGGGUGAGUAACACGUGGAUAACCUACCUAUAAGACUGGGAUAACUUCGGGAAACCGGAGCUAAUACCGGAUAAUAUAUUGAACCGCAUGGUUCAAUAGUGAAAGACGGUUUUGCUGUCACUUAUAGAUGGAUCCGCGCCGCAUUAGCUAGUUGGUAAGGUAACGGCUUACCAAGGCAACGAUGCGUAGCCGACCUGAGAGGGUUAUCGGCCACACUGGAACUGAGACGCGGUCCAG
rnacentral:rRNA from 1 species